AUAUCUCUCCGUACGGGAAGGAUGAGAAGCUUCGACUAAGGUUCGAUUCGAGCGCAGCGAGAAAGCGUU
rnacentral:sRNA from 3 species